rnacentral:misc_RNA from 1 species
AGCUUCAUAACUGAUACCCCGCAAUCAUUAACCUUCUCCCCCUUCUCUCUCAUCCUCCCUUCUCUCUACACAUCCAUUUUCUGUAAUUCUCUUUGGAUCUGAUUUACGGGGAACAUGGUCGAAACCAGACGAGGCUCCUCUUCUUCCAAACGACCUCUCUCUUCUCCUUCCUCUCCUCUCCCUAAUGGCAAGCGCUCCAAGGCUGUGGAGGCGUUGUCAUCAACUAAUGAUACCAUAGGGCAGAAAACACAGGGUGCUGUGAAUGAAUCAGGACAGGAAUCUGCUGAGCAAGAGGUACGAUCGGCUGAUCUGUCUGGUGCUAGUGUUUUGAAGUCAUCGGAUGCUUCUCUGCCACUAAAAUCACCGGAAAAUCAAGUGAAAGGCGAGCCUUUGGUAUCACCCAUCACUUUAGGUCAUUCGGUGAUUAAUGCUGAGAAGGUAAAGUUGAAUGGAUCGACAUUGAAUAGGGG